rnacentral:rRNA from 1 species
AGCUGUAUGAAUUAAUAUAUAGUUAUUUCUGCUCAAUGACAUUAAAUAGCCGCAGUACCCUGACUGUGCAAAGGUAGCAUAAUCAAUUGGCUUUUAAUUGGAGUCUAGUAUGAAUGAAAAUAUGGAUAGUAACUGUCUUAGUAUAUUUGUUGGAAAUUAUUAAGUGAGUGCAAAUGCUUACCGAGAUAAAAAAGACGAGAAGACCCUAGAAACUUGAUAAAGGUUUUGUUGGGGCGACAAAAUUACAGUUAACUAAUUUUUCGUAACAAGAUGCGAAGAGGAAAGAAUAAGUUACUCUAGGGAUAACAGCACAAUUUUAAUAGUUUGUGACCUCGAUGUUGGACUAGGUAUUAUAAUCUUAAGACAAGAUUAUAAAGCGCUCUGUUCGAGCAGUUCCACCUACAU